rnacentral:rRNA from 1 species
UACAGAGGUCCCAAGCGUUGUUCGGAUUCACUGGGCGUAAAGGGUGCGUAGGCGGUCGGGUAAGUCUGAUGUGAAAUCUCCAAGCUCAACUUGGAGAUGGCAUCGGAUACUAUUCGGCUCGAGGAAUGGAGGGGAGACUGGAAUACUUGGUGUAGCAGUGAAAUGCGUAGAUAUCAAGUGGAACACCAGUGGCGAAGGCGAGUCUCUGGACAUUUCCUGACGCUGAGGCACGAAAGCCAGGGGAGCAAACGGG